rnacentral:rRNA from 1 species
CCUACGGGUGGCAGCAGUGGGGAAUAUUGCUCAAUGGGGGAAACCCUGAAGCAGCAACGCCGCGUGGAGGAUGAAGGUUUUCGGAUUGUAAACUCCUUUUGUUAGAGAAGAUAAUGACGGUAUCUAACGAAUAAGCACCGGCUAACUCCGUGCCAGCAGCCGCGGUAAUACGGAGGGUGCAAGCGUUACUCGGAAUCACUGGGCGUAAAGAGCGCGUAGGCGGGAUAGCAAGUCAGAUGUGAAAUCCUAUGGCUUAACCAUAGAACUGCAUUUGAAACUGGUAUUCUUGAGUAUGGGAGAGGUUAGGUGAAAUCUUGGGUGAGGGGUAAAAUCCG